GAUAAAAUUACCCGAAAGUGUUGUCAUUGUUAAAUAAAUUACGGAUGUGCGUCUUUGCGUCAAGGUCGUGAUUCUACAUAACAACAUCCGCUUGACCUCGCAAUGCCAAGAAGAAGAAAGGCGUGGAACAUUUGCUUAAGCCUGUCAAGAUCUUCAGCAGAUGUUUGAGCAAAAGUCAUCAUCCUCUUCGUCACUCUUCAUCCGUAUUUGGGGUAACAAGCACCUGCUUCCCACAAGAGACUGGACAGCUGAUGUCAGACCUGCACCUUCCUUGAACAUGUUGGUAUCUUACUCUGUAUUUGUUCACGGUGGUCACCCCAGGGUCUCAGGACUCAAAUUGAGUGCUCUAUGGAUUAAACAGAAAAUGCAGUAUAAACAAGUGUUAUGUUGUCUUCAACAUGUUGGUAACUUACUCUGUAUUUGUUCACGGUGGUCACCCCAGGGUCUCAGGACUCAAAACGAGUGCUCUAUGGAUUGAACAUAAAAUGUAGUAUAAACAAGUGUUAUGUUUUUAAAUGCCACUAAUAAUGUGUUUCUGUUUUCUUUCUCAUUAUGCUAACAAACGCUCUUUUACCCCUCAUGUUAGGUAGAUCAACACUCCAACCAUCUGCAUUAGGGACUGAAUAAAGGAUGCCCUCUGUAGCUGGGAAUGUUAGAUCAGGCGGAUCAACAUUCCAUCCAUCUGCAUUAGGAUCUACCUUAGAGACACUCACUGGAGCUGUAAAUGGGAAGCAGGUCACUUACUUUGCAUUCGUCGUCCUUGGUGGUCACCCAAGGGUCUCUAGAGUGAAAAUUACUCAAUCUAUGGAUUAAACAGAAAAUUUAGUUGUAUGAAGUGGUAUGUUGUCUUUAAAUGCCAUUAAAAAUGUGUUUCUGUUUUCUGUCUCAUAUUAAGAAAUACUCUUUAACCUGCCCACUGGAGCUGGGAAUGCAAUUUGGGACAUUCUUCCAGUUGUCGGGAACUUUGUGAAAAAGGCUGGAAACUUAAAUGCAGAAUUCUGGCCUGGUGUUUGGUCUGUGCUGUCUUUGGCUCUUGCAUCUCCAUCAUCCUGACCCUCUUUAGCAGCCUGUCCAUGUAUUUAUUUGGAGGCCACCAUGAGCACCCAUCUGCAUAAUAUGACUUUGUUACUCAGAUGUCCAUGCGCUCCUACAAAUUCUACAUUUUUUGUAAAGCUGCAACAAGUUGAAACCCUAUAAUUAUUAACGUUUGAUUUUGAAAUAUGUAAUUCCAAUACAUGAAUAAGUAACAAAAGCAGAAAUUUAUUAAGAUAUUACCUUUUUGUUGCUUGUUUACUGAUCUAUCAAUCCUUUUGCAUUUUCAUAAUUGUUCAUCAUAACUUGGUAUACAGUGGAUGUGUGGCUGCAGAUAACUUUCUGAAGUCAAUUUAAAAAGACAAAAGUUAAUAAAUGCUGAAUUGGUCAAAUAUACAUUGUUGUAUUUUCACCAUUUUGAUGUUUAGUCAUUUCAUAACUUGAGGGUUAAUUCACGUAUAGUGAUGUUUCAAAUCAAAGAUUAAUUUAUUAAUGACAGCUAAUCAUUUUAUAAAGAUUUUUAUUACAAUAUUUAUUUAUAUAAUAUCAAUUUAAUACAUUUAAUUCGUUACACCUACAUUACUGAGCGCAAGGGAGUGCAGCCAACAAAUACAUUCAGGUGUGUUCGACUUAACACCGAGAUGCGCAGACAGCACGUGGUAUGACAUCAAAGUACCGCGAGAGUUUGGGAAAGCCCCGGAAAAGGUUUGAUCUCGCGGUACUUGAUGUCACGAUCGGUUUGCGUGUAGAUCAGCAUGAAGUAGAACACAUCUGAAAGAUGUGUGGGCUGCCUGCACUCAACGUUGCGAUAAUUCAGUAGAGUGUAACCUCAAUCGGUUUUUGCAGCUUCUGGGUGUCGUGUCGAACGGUCGCAGAACGAUUUUUUGUUCUUUUCCAACUCGAUUUUUAACUCCCUAGACUAGUAGGAUGUUCCAACGGGUGAAGCAACAGUGCUGACGGCCGGCAGAGUUUCAGUGUCAAUUUUUCAUGCCAUGAUCACUGGGGCGGAAACCAUUAUGACGUUGCCUUGGACAUCAAACUAAACCAUCUCAUUCUGGCUUUUUUCUAACAUCGAAAUCUCAGAAGGCCAGGACUAAGAUGGACGCAGCCUCCACAUGCAACCUUGCAUUUGAGGAACACCCAUAGAACGGUCAACUUACCCCAUACUCUAACCUGAAUGCAGUGAUCAUAAAACUUUAUCUUUUACCUUAAUUGUUAGAUGGGUGUUGAUACCAAACUAUUUUUUCUCGUCUACCCAGGAGAAAGUCAUGGGUUCUGCUGCUGAGGUUGUCAUAAAGCAUGCUUUUUCCAUUUGUUGCAUUGGGCAAUAUUAUCAAAAGAUUCUGAAAGAAAUAAGAUAAUUUUCAAAGCAUUAACAUGAAUAUGAAAGCAUUAAGUCAUUAAUGACCAUCUUUUAUUAUUGUUUAUUUAUAGUGUCUUUUAUUCUGCUUACCUGACUCAUGCAGAAUUCUGGCUUGAUGUUUGGUCCACCUGUUAGCUGGCUCUGGUGCUUGGUAGUCUUCUCAAACCUCUGAAUCAAGGCCACCAUGAGAGGCCUUCUGAAGACCAUCAUUACGCUUCAGAUCCAGUUGUCUUAACUAUGAGCCUACCACAAUCCCUGUGCACCAGCUAUGGAAAGUGCAGACCAAACUUCUACCUCCACCUAUAGAACUGAACUGGAGUCUGUGAACUAUAGCUGUGUUCGAGACAACUGGAACAGCAAACAAAGUUGAGUAUCCGACCUCUCAACUUGUGACUGAUGGAUCAGCACCAACCUCAACGAGAUGCAUCAUUUGACAUUGCAGACAAGAUCCUUUCUCUUUUUAAUGCAGCACUUAAGGAUGAAGCACCCUGAUCUACUAAGAUGCACAGAUUCAACUCUGGCCCAGCAUCAUCCCCACACCUCAUCUGCCAUCAGUUUAAUUUAAUGUCUGUCAAUUGCAAAUGCUAUUUAUUUCAGUUAUAUUACAACUUAAUGUUAACUUUAAUUGAGACUAGUAUUGUGUAAAGCUGGGGUUUCCAAACUUUUCAUUUCAAAACCUAUUAGACAAGUAUAAUCUAUUCUAGACCCACUAAAAUAUUUUUACAUAUACAUUUUUUUAAUGGGGUAAAACACAUUUGUUCUCUUUCAGUGGAGUCAUUUUAUUUUCAUAAUAUUUCAUAAUGUAAAGCAGUGGUUCUUAACGUUAUUCCUCGAGGCCCACUGCUCUGCACAUUUUGUAUGUCUCUUUUAUCUGACAGACUCAGUUCAGUUCAUUGAGAUCUCUUCUAAUGAGCUGAUGAUUUGAAUCAG